rnacentral:rRNA from 1 species
UACGAAGGGAGCUAGCGUUGUUCGGAAUUACUGGGCGUAAAGCGCAUGCAGGCGGAUCGUUAAGUCGGGGGUGAAAUCCCGAGGCUCAACCUCGGAACUGCCUUCGAUACUGGCGAUCUUGAGUCCGGAAGAGGUGAGUGGAACUCCUAGUGUAGAGGUGGAAUUCGUAGAUAUUAGGAAGAACACCAGUGGCGAAGGCGGCUCACUGGUCCGGUACUGACGCUGAGGUGCGAAAGCGUGGGGAGCAAACAGG